GCGUCCAUGGCGGAAUUGGUAGACGCAAGAGACUUAAAAUCUCUCGCCCAUAGGGCGUGCCGGUUCGAUUCCGGCUGGACGCA
rnacentral:tRNA from 1 species